CAGAAGGAGCGGCUUGUGCACAAGCAAGCGAGAUUAUCAGUGCGAUCAGAGAUGGUCGAUAUGCGAAGAAAAACAAACAAAAACAACAACAGCGAAUAAAUACGAUGACGUGUGAACACCAGGAAAGGCAAAUGGAGGGGAAAAGGGGACCUCGAUCAGACGGUUAAUAUGGAGCCUGCUUGGUGCAUCUGAUGGUGCCGGCAUGGUGCUGCAUCUUUCUCUUUCUGCCCGUACACACACAGAGGGAAGGAAUGCUGCGGGUUGUCUGGGCUGAUUGGUUUCUUCUAAACCUAAUCUACCUCCUGUGUGUGAGGGGAAGCAUUCAGAGGGAGACCGAGAGAGAGAAAGAGGUCAAAAGAGAAAAAGAUUGAGUGAGGUUCCAUUGCUUAUUUCCAUAAAUCCAUAAAUUCAAGAAUAAAAAUUAAUGAAAGAUGCACUGAAUAAAAUAAAAAAAAGCUGUGUAAAAUAUUUCUGUCGCAUUCUCUCAAUAGCAAGCUUGUUUGAUAUGUCAGCAUAAUCAAAUCAUAGCAUAAGGUGAGGACAGUGUUCUGCCUUAAAGGCACGAUUUUCUAAGUAAACGCUAUUACAUUAUUUUCCCUCCCCCAGAAAUAUUAAUUUCACUUCAUUAUGUGUACUGUUAUCCAUCUGAGCCAUAAGUCUUUUUUUGUUGUUUACAUUGUAUUACCAUUUCAAUAACAUUUCAAUUUAUCUGAUGCAGAAUUAUAACGACAAGUGUAGAAUUCUGGCCAUAAUGGCAUGGAGUAAAGUGUGUAAAAAUAUCACAAAAUUUAGGAAAUAUUUAUUUGUCGUAUUAUUAGACAGGGUUUACUGACCUUGUAUAUGAAACCUGUGUGCGAGCUCUGAGUUUACUGAUCAGGUAUUCAUAAAAACAGAAGUUAUGUAUUUGUUCUCAUAUUUAUAUUUAUCUGACUAUCUAUGAAUAUGUCUGCAUCAAUACAACAUCAGCAUGGCGACUUUUUCAUGACUGCCUCUGAUGCAGGCUACUCCAUAUUUACUGAAUGCAUAUGAAAACCUGAAAAGAAUAAUAAAUCUUUAUUGAUUUUUUUUUUUUUUUGAGGAAAGAUUGUGAUUAAAACCCCCAUGACAUUGCCACUCAUAAUGACAUUUUAUUUCGGUCAAAUCCCUUGUGGCUGAGUUGAUUUUCUUCAAAAUAAUUUAUUUCAAUUUUAGCUUUUGUUUUUUUUUUUUUCCUUUCUGAACUGUUCUCUAUAGCUCGCAUUGUACUUCCCCUCUUAUCCGAAGUGGUCAUAAGAAAGAUUGGCUGUGCUUUAUAAGUCAUACGUCUGCCAAAUUGCAUGGGCACUUAUCAUGGUCAUUAGUUUCCAUUCAGAUGGUGGAGGGACGGAACGCACUGCUGUGCUUGGCCGUCUCUCCUUGCUGAGCCACAUCAGCAGUCGAGCAGAAUGUAAGGCUUUCAUCGCAUCUAGGGAUAUAAUUUCUCAGCUUUUAAUAAUGCAGUACUGUUCAGCAUGGCAGCCAUUAUAGUCCCCCAGGACCUUGGUUGUAUAAGACAACUAUAGUCUCAAGAGAACUAGUUUAAAUCAGCAAGGCAUAUACCAGGAUUUGAAGGUUAAGUAAAUUUCAAAGCUGCCUUACUUUGACAAGUUGUUUUUAAUUCCCUAGACUUUGAGCACUUCAGUCAUUUUUACAAGUUCUCACUUGUGUACUUUUUUUUCUUUCCACAGAGCUUUUAACAGUUCAUGUUAAUGAUAUUCAAACAGAUGAAUAGCUGUGGAUGAACACAUGCUCAGAAGGCCACAAGGAUCCAAGUAAAAUAAGGUAAGCAAAGAGAAAGAGAGACAUCCAUCCUUCUGAAUUUGAUUACAAUUGUUCUGUGUUCUUAUGAUAUUGUUUGCUGAGCCACAGACAUAAUUACAUAGUUGCUGGAAUUAGAAAGGCUUGGCACAAACCAAUAAAUGCAUUUCAUACACAUUAAUUACCUUCAGCAGAACGAGUCAGCGGGCUGAAAAACGCAGAACAGACGAGGGACAGAGACGGAACUUUGACAUAAUGGCGAAUAUAGGACUGGACUGGACGGUUUGUGGAAAGGGCAUGUGGCUCAGUAGCAUGACAUUAUUAACUGAAGAUAUUUUUUCAGGCUUGCGUAAGUCACCUUAAAUUACAAAAGGCUCUCUCAGAUCGUUCCCUUAAAGGUCUUUCAGCUCUGGGUUGAAACAUUUCAAGAAGCAUGUGACUGGAAUUCACCUGAAUAGAAAUCUGUGUGUAAAUGUGGGUGUAUAUAAAAAUAUACGCCUAUAAAAUGUAUGCCAUCGAGUUGAUGAGAAUGAUAUGAAAUAUUCAUAUAAGCCCUGACUCACAAGUUUCAUUAUGUCACUGCUUUCAAAAAGACAAUAAGAUAUUGUCUUUAGAACUCAGCAGCCAUGCAAGGAUUCAGAUAUUUGCUUUAGGGAAAUAUAUUUUUUAACAGACAUCAGUAGUUUAUUCAGUAGUUAUUGGUUUCAUCCAUUUGCAUCAUAUAUCAGGUGAUAUAUUGGACCUGGAAAUAUAUUUGUGAUGUCAAUAUCUUUACCAUACCAUACCAUUAAUGAUACAGUUAUUUCAUGUUUAAUCAUCAUUAUACAGUACAUCAUAAUACUAAUGUAUAAUCACACUGCUAGUAUGCAGUAUGUAUAUCAAAUUAAAUUGUCUCCUAAUUUGUAACGAAAUAAUGUUUCCCUUUGUUUAUUCUUAUCCUUUAAUUUAAGUCUUCCACAGUCUAGGAGGUCAAAGCCUUCCUUCAAGACAAAUGAAACCUCUGCAUAUUUUCAAACUGUUGCUUAUGUAAUGUCACAGGAUUGCUGGAUGAAUGAGAAUGAGACAGCUCUGUAUACAUGAGCUAACAGAUACCUCUGAUUGCCUAAUUUCACUCUCAUCAAUAGUGGAAAGAGGCUGUCCUUUCCACAUAGUAAGCAGGCCAGUUAUGCUUUCUUAGGUCUUUUUCUUCAAAUAACCUGUCAUUUGAUAUUCUUGUUUCCAAUAAAUAUGCACAAUACAUUGUGUGAUAUACAUGAUAAACACGAUCUACACAUUGAUUCCGAAAUAGUUCUGGAUAUUGUGGAAGACUAGUGAUUUUGUUGUUGAAAAUAUAUCAAUGGCAACAACAAGUCAUAGUCUACCUCAGUGACCAGGACACACUCGCACGAUUGCCUUCAUUCACAAGGAGUAUUAAUGGCUGAUAUAAUGAUAAUCAUUCCUUGCGUAAAGGUUCAUUAUCGAGACCUGAUAGCAGUGGAAAAUAUGAAAUAUUCUUUUUAGCAUGAGAGACAUAGAAAUCGUUGACUUUUUUCCUGUCGUUAUAGGUAAUUAUUCUUUCCUCCUUUUUUUCACAGCCAACUUCUUUUAUGUGCAAGAUGAAAAUGUUUUUCCCCAACCUGUCAAAUAAAGACAAUUCACUGAAGUUUCUGUCUCAUUCUUGACCAAAUAAAUAAGAAGUCAUUAUAAAUCAAAGUAAUUUCAC
ensembl:lncRNA